ensembl:lncRNA
CUCACUGGCCUGAUUAUGAUAAUGAGAGCUGAAGAUAUUUAUCAUGUCAGCUCACUGCCACCUAUCCUGGACUCAUACAAAUCAGCACAGUGUCCAGAAAAGGCAGCCGGUCUAUCUGAAUAUCAGAGGCAGAGGAGACAACAAAGCCCCAGCAGAACAGGCAAGAUGCAGAUGGCGAUGACUUCUGCUCCUGCUGAGGAUUCUGAUCAAAUGCUUGAGAGAAAACGAAAAGCUCUUCUAGAUCAGCGCCAUCUAGAGACAUACUACAGACUACAGCGUUUUAAAGACAUGCUUUCAUGCCAGCAUGCUGCAUUACUGAGGGAAAAAGUUCAAAGACAAAGACAAGAGAUGAAGCACCGUGAUUCCAAGCUUAGAGAAGGACAUAAAGAACAGAAGCUUGUCACCAUUCAGAGGGCCACCAGAUCAACCCUCACACAUGAUGAUGCAUACUUGAGUUGUCUACCUAAAACACACUACUAUCUGGUUCUGGAACUGCAGAAACAGCUGACACGACUCGGGUAUCUUCAGAACCGCAGGGAACAGGAGGUGUUCAGGGUCUGGACAGAACAACACCAAAGCUCAUGUCAACUUGAGAAACAACUACAAGCAAUGGAACACAGCAGUAAUCCCAGCUCAGAUGUUACUCUUGAGGACCUGCUGAAACAGAAGCCUGGGUUUUUCCCGAAACUUCAGAUCACACCUGAUGACUCCACAGCACAGCAGAAACAUAUGCCAGUCUCACCAAGAGGAAAUGAAGAAGGGGUGAACACUUUCCAACAGCAGGGCAAACAGAGCUGGGAACAAGACGAAACUGAGCUCAUGUUUCCUGAAGUUUUCACUCGGGAGCUCAAAGUGCCUAAAUUUUCCAGUCUGCGGUCCACCUUCCUGGAAGAAGUCAGCUCCAAGAUGCUUCUUAUGAGAAGCUAUGAUCCACCGAUCUGGUCAAAGACCUUUGACAUUAAACACAAAACGAGAUUAAUGCACAACCUCUCGCUCUCUCAUAUGGCUGACACUCAGAGAAUUAUGGCAAAAAAUGGACUCAGUCUGCAAUGCACAGAUGGUUUCAGCAUUAAAGAAUUGAUCAUUUAUUAUUCAGCAAUCCACUCUCAUUUAUUUUGA